rnacentral:RNase_P_RNA from 1 species
GAGAGAGGAAGAGCGGCUGUCGGGUUCAAACCUGAGGAAAGUCUCCCCACCUGCCGGACGCACGGGCGUCCCAAAGGACGCAGGGCGAGAGUCCUGGCUCUGNNGCGCAUAGCUGAAUGCCGCACGGGCGCUACAAAGGUUUUACCUUUGCGCCAAACAUAAAGGGGCUUACUCUCCUCACUC